UACUGUAAACAUCCUUGACUGGAAGCUGGUGUUUGGUUUUUGGGCUUUCAGUCGGAUGUUUGCAGCAGCCAACUGCCCUUACCAUCUCAGGAAGGUUUCCACAUUGUAGCAUCAUCCAACUUUACAAACAGAGAUACAGCCCAGUUCACUCCUCCGACCUGAAUAAGGGAGCCGAGAGGAAGCGGGUGUAACACACACCAGAGGACCACAGACAAGGAAGGAAGGAAGCAUUUCAAGAUCACUCCCUCCUCCGCCCCAGCAUUCAUCAUCCUAUUAAUAAAAAACAGGCUUGUUGCCCGAGUUGGGGGUUAAACAUAAGCUGUGUUCAAAUCAUGAGUAUAAAACAUUCUAAUGAAACAAACAGAUUAAAUAUUACAAGAAUAAAUCUUUGACUAAUCUGAGUUUAUAUGCUGAUAUUUAGAGAGAAGACUAAAAUUAAUGCUUCACAUCGUAGUUCAGGUUUUCAUCCAUCGUCGAUCUGAGAUCCAGGGAAUGUAAACACCCUACACUCUCGGCGUGCGCCUCCUGGUGGCCGGGAGUGGGACUGUUUGCACUGCUUGGCUCAGGAGCGCAUCCCACAAAAACAAACUAAAGCAUUUGUUUCUUCACAGGCUUAUAACAUAAUUUGUCUGAACAAAUGAAUAUAAUGUACUUCAUGUUCAUUCUGGAAAUAAAAACAUAUCGACAACA